rnacentral:rRNA from 1 species
UACGGGGGGUGCGAGCGUUGUCCGGAAUCACUGGGCGUAAAGGGCGCGUAGGUGGUCUGAUAAGGGUGUGGUGAAAGUCCGGGGCUCAACCCCGGAUCUGCCGUGCCGACUGUCAGACUCGAGGACUGUAGAGGCAGGCGGAAUUCCGGGUGUAGCGGUGGAAUGCGUAGAGAUCCGGAAGAACACCGGUGGCGAAGGCGGUUAGCUGGCAGUUGCUGACACUGAGGCGCGACAGCGUGGGAGCAACAGG